rnacentral:rRNA from 1 species
CCGACCUCUGAUCGGAAAAGAUCACCCGCUGAGUUUAA